rnacentral:rRNA from 1 species
CAAAUCAGGUAGGACUACCCGCUGAACUUAAGCAUAUCAAUAAGCGGAGGAAAAGAAACUAACAAGGAUUCCCCUAGUAACUGCGAGUGAAGCGGGAAAAGCUCAAAUUUAAAAUCUGGCAGUCUUUUGGCUGUCCGAGUUGUAAUCUAGAGAAGUGCUUUCCGCGYUGGACCGUGUACAAGUCU